rnacentral:lncRNA from 1 species
AUCCUACUGACCACUAAGCCCCGCUCCAGAGCCUCCCAGGGAAUCCAUCCAAGCUCCUGGCCAAUCCUUUGCCUCCCCUGGCCAUAUCCUAGGUAACCAACAGACAGCCACGGAAACGGAGCAUACACAGUGGAAGGAAACCAGAACAAAUAACCUCUGGCAUUUCCACUCAUUUCAAGACAGUACAUCUGAAUUGUUAAUAAACAGAGAACAGAACUGUUGGAAGGAGCAUAGCAGAUUGGAGGGUCUAGCUGGAGGGGCUAGGGUGGGGAUUUGGGACAGAGGGGGAUAUAAUGGGAACAUUUGAAAGGUUGUUUAUUGCCAGUACAUGGGGUCAGCUGCAGAGCCCCUUGGCCAUCAGAAGGCUGUCUCUUGCAGGCUUUGCCUUCAGGCAGGGGACAAAGAAGAUGUGAAAACUGAAAAAGAGAAAUAGCUGGCAGGGAGGAGAGUGUGCAGAAAAAGGCAAUGCUUCCUCAACUGGCUUUUACUGGGUCUGUUUUGGAAUCCCAUCUCUGUGGCAAGGAAGGACAUGUGCAAUUUGCAGACAAGGUCACCUUUGCUACCAUGAUCUCGACCACUGCACUUACUCCUGUCUUGCCCAGGGGACUUCCAGGAGAGGAGGGGGAGCGUCAGAA